rnacentral:rRNA from 1 species
UACAGAGGUCCCAAGCGUUGUUCGGAUUCACUGGGCGUAAAGGGUGCGUAGGCGGUGGGGUGAGUUUGGGGUGAAAUCUCCGGGCCCAACCCGGAAAAUGCCUUGAAUACUAUCCGCUUGAGGAUCGGAGGGGAGACUGGAAUUCUCGGUGUAGCAGUGAAAUGCGUAGAUAUCGAGAGGAACACCAGUGGCGAAGGCGGGUCUCUGGACGAUUCCUGACGCUGAGGCACGAAAGCCAGGGGAGCAAACGGG